rnacentral:rRNA from 1 species
GUAGGGAAUAUUGGACAAUGGAGGCAACUCUGAUCCAGCCAUCCCGCGUGAAGGAUUAAGGCCCUCUGGGUUGUAAACUUCUUUUCUCUGGGAAUAAAAACCGGUAUUCAUAUCGGCUUGAAGGUACCAGAGGAAUAAGCACCGGCUAACUCCGUGCCAGCAGCCGCGGUAAUACGGAGGGUGCAAGCGUUAUCCGGAUUCACUGGGUUUAAAGGGUGCGUAGGUGGCUUUGUAAGUCAGUGGUGAAAUCUUAGAGCUUAACUCUAAAACUGCCAUUGAUACUGCUUAGCUUGAAUCAGGUCGAGGUGGAUGGAAUAUUACAUGUAGCGGUGAAAUGCUUAGAUAUGUAAUAGAACACCGAUUGCGAAGGCAGUUCACUAGGCCUGUAUUGACACUGAGGCACGAAAGCGUGGGGAUCAAACAGGAUUAGAUACCCCUGUAGUCC